rnacentral:tRNA from 1 species
GCGGGCGUGGUGGAAUUGGUAGACGCGCCGGAUUCAAAAUCCGGUUCUGGCAACAGAGUGUCGGUUCGACCCCGACCGCCCGCA